AACGAAUGCUAUCGGUAUGCUUAACACAUGCAAGUCGGACGGACUAAUUAGGGCUUGCUCCAAUUAGUUAGUGGCAGACGGGUGAGUAACACGUGGGAAUCUGCCCAUCAGUACGGAAUAACUUUUAGAAAUAAAAGCUAAUACCGUAUAUUCUCUACAGAGGAAAGAUUUAUCGCUGAUGGAUGAGCCCGCGUCAGAUUAGGUAGUUGGUGAGGUAACGGCUCACCAAGCCGACGAUCUGUAGCUGGUCUGAGAGGAUGAUCAGCCACACUGGGACUGAGACACGGCCCAGACUCCUACGGGAGGAAGCAGUGGGGAAUAUUGGACAAUGGGCGAAAGCCUGAUCCAGCAAUACCGAGUGAGUGAUAAAGGCCCUAGGGUUGUAAAGCUCUUUUAGCAAGGAAGAUAAUGACGUUACUUGCAGAAAAAGCCCCGGCUAACUCCGUG
rnacentral:rRNA from 1 species